CGCUCCUCGAGUGCGUGGUGGGCUGGAGACGCUGCUUCCCUUGAAGUCUAAUUUUAGCUGAAGGCGACGGGAUCCCUCCAGGGCAUGGCAGAGAUUUCCUAUCAGCUGCCUAGACCUUAAGAAACAACACACACAAACAAAAACAACACUGAGAAGCACUUGGGGUUUAUUUGGGUGAAUUCUUUCAAAAAAUGGGUGUGACUUAUUUUUCUUUACGAGCAUUCCCUGUGCACGCUGGCUUUGUUCUGCUGCAGUCGGGUAUUUCAGGUCUUCCAAGAUUUAAUCAGAAUAAUUAGUUACUGUCUGUUUGUACCUUCUGUUUCUGUUGCAGGGUUACCAAAGGGCGUAUUUAUCUUCCAGAGGGCUUCCUAAGUGUCACUUAAUCAUUAAAGCAUCCGAUUUCCUCCAAGUUAUCUGUCAUGAGGCUUAUGUGGUGGAGUUGUGCAGCUGUCCUGGAAAAUCGAGUCCUGGUGGCUGGGGCUGUGCAGAUCCAUCCUGGUCAAAGCAGGGCUUUUGUCAUAAGCUACAUUGUGUUGUGGCUACAUAAAAUAAGUAUGGCCAAGCCUUCCAGUUAAUCUCACUUGCUGUGCUUGCCUGAGUUUUUUGUUUUUUCUUUUGUUUACAUGCAAACAGUAUUUCAGUGAAAUGUGAUAAAAGUUGCUGUUUUUUCCCAGGCUGGGUGAGAGCUAUUUGGGAUCAUGUGGUAUUUGAUGUGAGCUCAUAUACAUUUUUUUUUUUGUGUUCAUCUGCUGGAACACAGGGAGGUAUUAAUGUCAUACUGGAAGGAAAAGCAGCCAGAGGGCCUUUUCUGCCAUUAGACAUGUUUAUCAAGGAAUUCUCAACCCCAACUUUGUACUUUAGGGGGAGAAAUCACUGUGGAUUAACAUCAGAAUUUAAAAACCUUUAAAAGGAAAUCAGCAUCGCAGAUGGGUAGGCCAGCUGAGGGAUCUGACAAGUGUGUUUUGUUUGCUCUGGGCACCUUCUGUACUACGAGUUUAAUGAUAUCUUGAAGUUUAAUGAUAUUUAGCCAUCAGGGUCCCCGCUGGGAAGGACUCCUGUUUACAGCAGCCUUCAUCCAGUUUCCAUUUUAAGAGAGAAAGAAACCAGCUUGCUCCACACCACGAAAUGCCUGAACACCUGUGGUUCCAGUAGCCUCAUCUUAAGCAUGGAUAGUGCUAAAAAACUCCAAACACCACCCAAAAAAAGCCCUCUGGGACUCAGCCAGUAGCUCCUUGUUGC
rnacentral:lncRNA from 1 species